rnacentral:rRNA from 1 species
GAUGAACGCUGGCGGCGUGCCUAAUACAUGCAAGUCGAGCGAACAGACGAGGAGCUUGCUCCUCUUACGUUAGCGGCGGACGGGUGAGUAACACGUGGAUAACCUACCUAUAAGACUGGGAUAACUUCGGGAAACCGGAGCUAAUACCGGAUAAUAUAUUGAACCGCAUGGUUCAAUAUUGAAAGACGGUUUUGCUGUCACUUAUAGAUGGAUCCGCGCCGCAUUAGCUAGUUGGUAAGGUAACGGCUUACCAAGGCAACGAUGCGUAGCCGACCUGAGAGGGUGAUCGGCCACACUGGAACUGAGACACGGUCCAGACUCCUACGGGAGGCAGCAGUAGGGAAUCUUCCGCAAUGGGCGAAAGCCUGACGGAGCAACGCCGCGUGAGUGAUGAAGGUCUUCGGAUCGUAAAACUCUGUUAUUAGGGAAGAACAAAUGUGUAAGUAACUAUGCACGUCUUGACGGUACCUAAUCAGAAAGCCACGGCUAACUACGUG